UAGCUAGGAGUGGGAUUGCAGGGUUGUAUGAUAAAUGUAUUUUUAACUUUAUAAGAAACUGCCAAAUUGUUUCCUAAAGUGUCUGGGCCAUGUUGCAUUCCCACCAGUAAUGUGUGAAAGUUCCAGUUGCUCUGCAUCCAUGUCAGCAAUUGUUAGGGUCUUGUGGGAAUGCUCUGGAACAUGAUUAUUGUGCUUACGAUUCAGCCUUCCCAGUCUUCAUUUAUUGGUCAGUGAUAGACAAUGGAAAUGUUUUUCUGGACAAACUCCACCACUUCUGGACAAGGGUUUCCACCAAGGCAAAUUUUCAGAACUCCAUACUCAGUGUAAUUCCCAAAGAAUGGGCUCUUCAGUCUUGAAUAAGAUCACAUACAGGGCCUCAACAUUAUAAUCCACAUUGGAAUUCAUACACUGGAAUGAGAAUCAAGAAAUUCUAUUCCUGUGAACAGGUUGGAGACUUUCUUCGGUUGGACGACUUUGUUGCUUGCUUGUUCUCGGUGACGAGAUAUCACAGUAAGAUGAGGAACUGAAAGGAAUGGCACUGAAACUGAAAUUUUCUGAGAGUUGUAACAAGUAUUUAUCUAUUCUGGAUGCAGGUCUUUAGAAGAUUUUUGUCCCUCCUGUCUGGUUCUGGUUGGAGAGUUUACCGCUCCAUCGGUUAAGAGAGGCUGAAAAUGGUCUCACUCUUUUGGAAGCUGGAACUACCUCCACAAAGAAAUAUUCUUCUUCAUAACCACAUAUUAAUAAAGUAGCUUAAACAUUCCUAAGAAAGGAUUUUUUUUUUUUUUUUAACACUAAUUGAGGACAUAUGCUGCCUGAGGAAAAAAAUUGGAAGACCCAGUUCUGGUCCUCAAGGAAUUUGCAAUCUCGUUAAGGUUG